AGUGAACGCUGGCGGUAGGCCUAACACAUGCAAGUCGAACGGCAGCACAGUAAGAGCUUGCUCUUACGGGUGGCGAGUGGCGGACGGGUGAGGAAUACAUCGGACUCUACUUUUUCGUGGGGGAUAACGUAGGGAAACUUACGCUAAUACCGCAUACGACCUACGGGUGAAAGCAGGGGAUCUUCUGACCUUGCGCGAUUGAAUGAGCCGAUGUCGGAUUAGCUAGUUGGCGGGGUAAAGGCCCACCAAGGCGACGAUCCGUAGCUGGUCUGAGAGGAUGAUCAGCCACACUGGAACGGAGACACGGUCCAGACUCCUACGGGAGGCAGCAGUGGGGAAUAUUGGACAAUGGGCGCAAGCAUGAUCCAGCCAUACCGCGUGGGUGAAGAAGGCCUUCGGGUUGUAAAGCCCUUUUGUUGGGAAAGAAAAGCAGCAGGUUAAUACCCCGCUGUUCUGACGGUACCCAAAGAAUAAGCACCGGCUAACUUCGUG
rnacentral:rRNA from 1 species